rnacentral:rRNA from 1 species
UACGUAGGGUGCAAGCGUUUGUCCGGAAUUAUUGGGCGUAAAGAGCUCGUAGGCGGUCUGUCGCGUCUGCUGUGAAAACUCAGGGCUUAACCCUGAGCUUGCAGUGGGUACGGGCAGACUAGAGUGCGGUAGGGGAGACUGGAAUUCCUGGUGUAGCGGUGAAAUGCGCAGAUAUCAGGAGGAACACCGGUGGGCGAAGGCGGGUCUCUGGGCCGUAACUGACGCUGGAGGAGCGAAAGCAUGGGGAGCGAACGGG